rnacentral:rRNA from 1 species
UACGGAGGGUGCAAACGUUGCUCGGAAUCAUUGGGCGUAAAGCGCACGUAGGCGGUCCCUUAAGACGGGUGUGAAAGCCCACGGCUCAACCGUGGAAGUGCAUUCGAAACUGAGGGGCUUGAGUACGGAAGAGGGUCUCGGAAUUCCCGGUGUAGAGGUGAAAUUCGUAGAUAUCGGGAGGAACACCAGUGGCGAAGGCGGAGACCUGGGCCGAUACUGACGCUGAGGUGCGAAAGCGUGGGGAGCAAACAGG